rnacentral:lncRNA from 1 species
AAAUUCACCUACAACAAUCCAUCCAAAUUCACCUACAACCUCCACCCAAAUUCACCUACAACAUACACCCAAAUUCACCUACAACAAUCCAUCCAAAUUCACCUACAACCUCCACCCAAAUUCACCUACAACAUACACCCAAAUUCACCUACAACAAUCCAUCCAAAUUCACCUACAACCUCCACCCAAAUUCACCUACAACAAUCCAUCCAAAUUCACCUACAACCUCCACCCAAAUUCACCUACAACAUCCACCAAAAUAAAUGGAUGGUGGUGGUUCAUUCCCAAAGUCUAUAAAUAGGCUCCUCCAUCAAAGAAUCAGGAGAGGAUUUUUACAUACACUUUCUCUACUCCCAAAUUGGAAGAGAAGUCACACCACACCAAAGCCUUGAAGCCUCGAAACUUAGAAGCUCUCAAGCAAAUCCCGAAGGAUCAAGAAAGCCCUCUUCAUUCUUCGUGAAAUCCUCCUUCAAGAUCAAGCCCCAACGCCCCUUGGAGAACUUCCACUCAUUCAAGAUCAAGCCCCGACGGCCCUUGAAGAAGGUGUUCAUCACUCAUCAACUGUUCGUCCAAGAUCAAGCCUCGACGGCCCCUGGAUCAGCAACACUACCUCUACGCGUUUCAAAGAUAGAAUCAGAGGCCAAAUUCGUAGAAGAGAUUGUAACCCCUAAAUCAUUAAUACAAAUAUUAUUUUGUACACGUGUUCUUGUCUCAUUCGUUUCAGGAAUUUUCCGUGUUUACAACUUUGGCACGCCCGGUGGGACAGUCUCUACCUCUCAUCUCUAUCUUUGAAUCCGCAACAAGCACAAAUGGCGUCAAGGAAGGCCCAAGUUGUUCUCGCUGCCAAUGCAAGAAACAAGAGCGCCAUCACGACAGGGGGCGUCACUUCAGGCAUCAUAACUCGAAGCAAGGCAAAAGCUCUUUCUGCCGCCUCUUCCGCCCCUGCAUCAACUCCGCCGAAGGCACAAGAGCACCCGAGGCACAAACCGGUGAUCACCCUGGCCUCGCUCAGGGCGCCAAGAGAGGAAAGCCAGAGGAAGUACUCUGAAUCCUUACUUUCUGAUGCCGACUCAAGCAGCGGCAUAGCUAUGCAAGUCAUGGUUGCUGGAGCGACUUCAAUUGAAGAGCAGCUGGCUCAGAUGAGUGAAACAAUCGCAAAACUCACAAGGACUGUGGAGGACAAAGACCUGCAAAUCGCAGCACUCGUUAACCAACUAGAUGCAAAGCCCGAUGAGAAAGUCAGGCAAGGGGAUAAUCCAAUAAAGAGGGAAAACGACGAGGAUGAGGAACCUCUAGUGGAGAACGUCGAAGAGACACUGAAGUCGGACCAAGCGGCGACACUCAUGGGGUCUCUCUCUAUCCAGCAGCUGCAGGAGAUGAUCGCCAACACCAUCAAGGUGCAGUAUGAAGGAAGCUCACAUGAUUCCGUACUAUACUCAAAGCCCUACUCCAAGAAGAUUGACGCUUUGAAGAUGCCGAGGGGGUUAUCAACCACCAAAGUUUAUGCAGUUCGAUGGAAAGGGGAACCCGAAGCAACAUGUCGCCCACUUCAUUGAAACCUGCAACAAUGCUGGAACAGAAGGAGACUACCUCGUCUAGCAAUUCGUGCGCUCGCUGAAAAGCAACGCCUUUGACUGGUACACCGACCUCGAGCCGAGUCUAUCAACAGUUGGGAUCAGCUAGAAAAGGAAUUCCUCAACCGCUUCUACAGCACGCGCCGCACCGUAAGCAUGCUGGAGCUGACCAGUACGAAACAGUGGAAGGAGGAACCCGUCGUCGACUACAUCAAUAGAUGGCGUUCAUUAAGUCUGGAUUGCAAAGAUCGGCUUUCUGAAACCUCUGCCAUUGAGAUGUGUGUUCAAGGCAUGCACUGGGGGUUACAUUACAUUCUCCAAGGCAUAAAACCAAGAACGUUUGAGGAGCUGGCAACGCGUUCCCACGACAUGGAGCUGAGUAUCGCCAAUCACGGAAAGAAUGAGCCGAUCACCCCACUUCAAGAAGGAUAAGGUGUUCGCCCCGAGUGUGGACAAGACUGGAAAAAAGCCUGCCAAGGAAACUUUUACUGUCAACACUACCCCCAUCAAAACUCCAUCUGCGCCUAUCAAGACCACCUCUGCGCCUAUCAAGAUUUCCUCCAAGACCAAGGCAAAUGAGACAAAGAGAAAGUGAGCCUCCUCGCACCCAAGACAAGUAUAAAAACACCUUGAGAGAGUUGGAGCAAAAGACGUACCCUUUUCCUGACUCAGACGUGGAUGCGAUGUUAGAUGACUUGCUGGAAAAGAAGGUAAUUGAGUUACCAGAGUGCAAGCGCCCUGAAGAAAUGAAUCGAACGAACGAUCCUAGGUACUGCAAGUACCAUCGUAUCGUAAGCCAUCAUGUGGGCAAGUGCUUCGUCCUCAAAGAACUCAUUAUGAAGCUAGCGCAACAAGGGAGAAUCGAGCUAGACCUUGAGGACACAGCCGCAACACAUACUACUACUACGGUGGCGUUCGGAUCCUUCGAUCCCGUGCCUCUCCAAACGACACCCGACCAUUCCUAUCAAUGUGCAAGCUACACGGCGCCAUCUACUCAACCAUCGUCGGGGGCAAACGAACAAGAUGCGUAUACUGAUGAUGAUGAAGGAUGGACAUUGGUGACCUACAAAAAAACAAGGAAACCAAAACCACAAGCCACAAGACCAAAGGUGGAACAAGUGAGAAAAACCGUCGCCGCAACAGUAGGAAGCCUAAAAGAAACGUAAAAGUCAAUAAGCCAACGUAUGCUGGGAAACCCAUGGAGCAAGAGCCACGCAUUCCUGUCUCCUUGCGCGAGUACUUCCCGAAUGACUUCUUCCAACAGUGCACUAUCGCUGCAUGCCAUAUGGUCGAAGUAGAAACUGAAGAACCUCCAAAAGGCAAAGAUAUCACCACUGAGGGAGAAAAAACUCUCACGCUCGAAGAAGGUCUGCCAACACAUUUUAGCAUUGAGGAAGCGCUACGAUUACCAAAGAAGAUGCGAAUAGCAUUAGCAGCGGUCUUGGAAAGUCCCAAUGAACAUGAAGUGCAAGAAAGCAAGAACGAAGGCUUGAAGCUUCGGCCACAUGAAUGUGCCACAUGUUGUGCUAUCGAGGAUGCAAUCCAUUUCACCGACGAAGACUUGCUGCUAGGAUCCAAGCCUCACAACCGUCCUCUCUUCGUCUCUGGGUAUGUAAAAGGGCACAAAGUCAACCGCAUGCUCGUGGAUGGUGGAUCAGCCAUAAAACAUCAUGCCAAAGUCAACAAUGACUACAAUCGGCAUCAAGGCAGAUGAGCUGUCCCUAAGUCGUCUACUAAUCCAAGGUUUUAAUCAAGGAGGACAAAGAGCGAUGGGCAUGAUCCGAGUGGAGAUGACUAUUGGUGAACUCAAGUCGAGCACCGAUAUUCCACGUGAUUGAUGCAAGAACUUCCUACGGCUUACUCUUAGGAAGCCUUGGAUCCAUGCGAAUGGAGUAGUACCGGUCCACCCUUCACCAAUGCUUAAAAUUCUACCGAGAAGGAGUGAAGGUGAUCUAUGGCGACACCAAACCAUUCACUGAAGCCGAAUCACAUUUCGCAGACGCCAAGUUCUACAUGGAUGAAGACAUGGUACCCGAAGCUCUUCCAAAAGAAAUCAAAUCCACGGGCAAAGCAACACCUAAAAAGCAGGAGCGACAAGCCAUGCCAAGAAGCAAGAAGAAGAAGUUACGCCGUCUUCAAGCAAGAACGAUAAUGAGCUGGCUAAACGAGCAACAACAAAGGGGAGUAGGAUGCCCUCAAAUGGACCAAACAUACCCGUCUUCCCGAUACAUCCCGAUGUCGAGAAGAAAAGAAUGGUCAAUCUCCGUUCGAAACUGGAGCAAAACAAAGCCGAUGCACAGAGGCAUAUGGAUAAUGUAAAGUUGCUCAAGACGAAUGCAGUUUUACCUCUGACACAGCUAGGCGGCACUAAGGUCGCAAGACUACCACAAGGCUUCAUAAAAGCUCUACCGAAGGGGGUGGAACCGAGCUUUCUCCCAACCCAGAGGACUUAAGAAGGUUUUGAUCCAAACGCCUAUAAACUCAUGUCGAAAGCUGGCUACGACUUCGCUUCUUCUUCGAAUCAUGAAAAGAAGGUUUCAAACACCAUUAACAAUAAAGAACAUGACCUCACCGAGACUCAAAAGAAGUUGAAGAAGCACGGUUACGGAGUUGAUAACAACAAAGCUGGACUAGGCUUCACACCAAAUGCACCCGUGAAGAUUUCAAGCAAAGCGAAAAAUGCUAGCACCCAACACAUCAGCGUGAGUAUUGAACAAGAUCAUAAUGAGCCUAAAUCCACCCCUUGGACGUCAGUCUUCGAUAGGAUGAAUCGUUCAAGAUCCAGAAUGUCAGCACUUAACCGCAUUGGUGGUCAAAACCCGAACCUCCGUCUUCAAGAGACUUAACAUGCCAGCAUCCCAAAGCUCUGUUUUUGAAAGGUUGUCAAAAACCUAAGAGGCAAAGCAACACGACUAGCUCUCUUCCUCGUCAGUCAGCUUUGGAAAGACUUGAAGACAGCAAGAAGUUUUCCAGAAAUAGGAAGACAAUGUCAAAGGAAGGAAAACUCGAUAUGAUAGCAGAAAAAAAUGUGAUAUUCGAAGCUCAAUUCCUUCAAGGAUGAAGCGCCAAGCAAUCUUGGAGGUGGACACAAAUGGACCACUGAAAGUAAAAAGGGCGCACCAUCAUCCCACACUGGACAAUCUUCAUGCCGACCAGCCCAAGAGGACGACACCGAAGAGGAAUUCCAAGAUGUCUUCCACAUCACGAUCCAAGAAAGCGGAGAAGAUGAGAUCCUCGAAGAAGAUGUCGCUGCUGAGCCACCGCAACUUGAGGAUGGGGGGCAAUCCACGGUUGAUGAUCUCAAGGAGCUCAACUUAGGCACAAAAGAUGAGCAGAAACCUAUCUUCGUGAGUGCGCUGCUAAGUGCAGACGAGGUAGAUGAGUAUUACCAACUGUUAUCAGAGUACAAAGACGUCUUUGCUUGGACUUACAAGGAAAUGCCCGGCCUUGACCCUGUCAUCGCUGUACAUCAUCUUGCAGUUAAGCCUGGAACGCGACCGAUAAGCAAACUCAAAGGCGCUAUCGAUCCGAGCUAAUUCCACAAAUCGAGGUAGAGAUUGAUAAGCUAAUCGAAGCAGGCUUCAUUCGAGAGGUGCAAUACCCCAAGUGGAUCUCCAACAUCGUCAUCGUCCUUAAGAAAUCUGGAACAAAUACGUGUUUGUGUAGACUUCCGGGACCUCAAUGACGCUUGCCCGAAAGAUGACUUUCCCUUGCCAAUCAUCGAAAUCAUGGUGGACGCAACCACUGGCCACGAGGCACUGUCAUUUAUGGACGGCUCUUCUGGAUACAAUCAAAUUCGUAUGGCUCUCGAAGAUGAGGAACUAACAGCAUUCCGCACUCCAAAGGUAUCUACUGCUACAAGGUCAUGCCGUUUGGUCUAAAGAAACGCUGGAGCCACAUAUCAGCGAGCAAUGCAGAAAAUCUUCAAUGACAUGCUACACAAAACGUAGAAUGUUAUGUAGACGACGUGGUGGUCAAAACAAAGAAAGAUCAUAUCACUUGAAGGAUUUGCGAGUAGUGUUCAAAAGGCUGCGAAAGUACACCUCAAGAUGAACCCGUUGAAGUGUGCGUUUGGGCGUCACCUCUGGAAAGUUCCUCGGCUUCAUUGUCAAGCACCGUGGCAUUGAAGUGGACCAAUCAAAAAUCAAGGCCAUCCAAAACAUGCCCGAGCCAAGAAACCUGCACGAGCUGAAAAGUCUACAAGGACGACUAGCCUUCAUCAGACGCUUCAUCUCCAACCUUGCAAGGCGUUGUCAACCGUUUUAGUCGACUCAUGAAAAAGGAUGUUCCAUUCAUAUGGGACGAAGCGUGCCACAAUGCUUUUGAAAGCAUAAAAAAAUAUUUAUCAAGUCCACCUGUCCUGGGGGCGCCUGUNACGACUUCGCUUCUUCUUCGAAUCAUGAAAAGAAGGUUUCAAACACCAUUAACAAUAAAGAACGUGACCUCACCGAGACUCAAAAGAAGUUGAAGAAGCACGGUUACGGAGUUGAUAACAACAAAGCUGGACUAGGCUUCACACCAAAUGCACCCGUGAAGAUUUCAAGCCAAAGCGAAAAAUGCUAGCACCCAACACUCAGCGUGAGUAUUGAACAAGAUCAUAAUGAGCCUAAAUCCACCCCUUUGGACGUCAGUCUUCGAUAGGAUGAAUCGUUCAAGAUCCAGAAUGUCAGCACUUAACCGCAUUGGUGGUCAAAACCGAACCUCCGUCUUCAAGAGACUUAACAUGCCAGCAUCCCAAAGCUCUGUUUUUGAAAGGUUGUCAAAAACCUAAGAGGCAAAGCAACACGACUAGCUCUCUUCCUCGUCAGUCAGCUUUGGAAAGACUUGAAGCAGCAAGAAGUUUUCCAGAAAUAGGAAGACAAUGUCAAAGGAAGGAAAACUCGAUAUGAUAGCAGAAAAAUGUGAUAUUCGAAGCUCAAUUCCUUCAAGGAUGAAGCGCCAAGCAAUCUUGGAGGUGGACACAAAUGGACCACUGAAAGUAAAAAGGCGCACCAUCAUCCACACUGGACAAAUCAUGCCGACCAGCCCAAGAGGACGACACCGAAGAGGAUUCCAAGAUGUCUUCCACAUCACGAUCCAAGAAAGCGGAGAGAUCGAGAUCCUCGAAGAAGAUGUCGCUGCUGAGCCACCGCAACUUUGAGGAUGGGGGGCAAUCCACGGUUGAUGAUCUCAAGGAGCUCAACUUAGGCACAAAAGAUGAGCAGAAAACCUAUCUUCGUGAGUGCGCUGCUAAGUGCAGACGAGGUAGACUGAGUAUUACCAACUGUUAUCAGAGUACAAAGACGUCUUUGCUUGGACUUACAAGGAAAUGCCCGGCCUUGACCCUGUCAUCGCUGUACAUCAUCUUGCAGUUAAGCCUGGAACGCGACCGAUAAAGCAAACUCAAAGGCGCUAUCGAUCUGAGCUAAUUCCACAAAUCGAGGUAGAGAUUGAUAAGCUAAUCGAAGCAGGCUUCAUUCGAGAGGUGCAAUACCCCAAGUGGAUCUCCAACAUCGUCAUCGUCCUUAAGAAAUCUGGACAAAUACGUGUUUGUGUAGACUUCCGGGACCUCAAUGACGCUUGCCCGAAAGAUGACUUUCCCUUGCCAAUCAUCGAAAUCAUGGUGGACGCAACCACUGGCCACGAGGCACUGUCAUUUAUGGACGGCUCUUCUGGAUACAAAUCAAAUUCGUAUGGCUCUCGAAGAUGAGGAACUAACAGCAUUCCGCACUCCAAAAGGUAUCUACUGCUACAAGGUCAUGCCGUUUGGUCUAAAGAACGCUGGAGCCACAUAUCAGCGAGCAAUGCAGAAAAUCUUCAAUGACAUGCUACACAAAAACGUAGAAUGUUAUGUAGACGACGUGGUGGUCAAAACAAAGAAAAGAUCAUAUCACUUGAAGGAUUUGCGAGUAGUGUUCAAAAGGCUGCGAAAGUACAACCUCAAGAUGAACCCGUUGAAGUGUGCGUUUGGCGUCACCUCUGGAAAGUUCCUCGGCUUCAUUGUCAAGCACCGUGGCAUUGAAGUGGACCAAUCAAAAAUCAAGGCCAUCCAAAACAUGCCCGAGCCAAGAAACCUGCACGAGCUGAAAAGUCUACAAGGACGACUAGCCUUCAUCAGACGCUUCAUCUCCAACCUUGCAAGGCGUUGUCAACCGUUUAGUCGACUCAUGAAAAAGGAUGUUCCAUUCAUAUGGGACGAAGCGUGCCACAAUGCUUUUGAAAGCAUAAAAAAAUAUUUAUCAAGUCCACCUGUCCUGGGGGCGCCUGUGCCCGGGAAACCACUCAUAUUAUACAUCGCCGCUCAGGAAAGUUCAGUGGGAGCACUCUUGGCCCAGGAAAACGAAUUCCAGAAAGAAUGAGCGCUUUACUACCUGAGUCGAACGCUCACCGGCGCCGAGUUGAACUACUCCCCAAUAGAGAAAAUGUGCCUUGCCUUAGUGUUUGCCAUCCAGAAGCUCAGACAUUACAUGCAUGCUUACACCAUCCACUUGGUUGCUAAAGCUGACCCGGUUAAAUAUGUCAUGUCCAAGCCAGUCUUGACAGGGCGACUAGCUAAAUGGGCGUUGAUUCUCAAUCAAUACGAGAUCAUUUGCGUCCCAGCUAAAGCCGUCAAGGGACAAGCAUUAGCAGACUUCCUUGCCGAUCAUCCAAUCCCAGCCGAUUGGAAAAUCUCAGACGACUUGCCUGACGAGGAGGUAUUCUACAUUGACAUAUUUCCGAGAUAGACGAUGUUUUUCGACGGAUCCGCACGAGCAGACGGAGAGGGGGCAGGAGUAGUAUUCAUGUCACCGCAAAGGCAAAUACUACCUUACUACUCAUUCCAACUAAGCGAAUUGUGCUCCAACAACGUCGCUGAGUACCAGGCACUAAUCAUCGGGCUUCAAAUGGCGAUCAACAUGGAAAUCACAACCCUUGAGGUAUAUGGCGACUCUAAGCUCAUAAUUAGUCAACUCUUGACUGAAUAUGAGGUGAGGAAAGAUGAUCUCGUUCCGUACUUCCGAUUGGCAACUCAGCUGCUUACAAAAGUUCGAGGCCCGUAACACUAGAACACGUGCCGAGAAAAAGAAAAUCAAAUGGCAGACGCUCUCGCUAACCUAGCCUCGAGUAUGACACUAGGGGAAGACGAAGCUGCAGAUGUGCCAAUUUGCCAAAGAUGGGUCAUCCCCCUCGCCACCGAAAUGAUACUAGAUGAUACGAAUGUCAUCUCGGUACUUCCAGUCGAUGUUGAAGAAUGGAGACAACCAUUGAUUGACUACUUGGAGUAUGGAAAACUUCCAAAUGAUCCGAGACACCGCUCUGAAAUACGUCGACGAGCACCUCGCUUCCUCUACUACAAAGAAACACUCUACCGGCGCUCUUUCGAAUGAGUACUUCUGAGAUGCCUAGGUGAGGAAGAAGCCAAUCAAGCCAUGGAAGAAGCACACUCAGGCGUGUGCGGGGCGCAUCAAUCUGGACCAAAGCUACAUUUCCAGCUCAAGAGAAUGGGUUACUACUGGCCAAGUAUGGUGAAGGAUUGCCUGGAACAUGCCAAAAGGUGCCAAGCCUGCCAAUUCCACGCCAACUUCAUACAUCAACCACCUGAACCAUUACACCCUACAGCUGCUUCAUGGCCAUUCGAUGCAUGGGGAUUGGACGUCGUGGGACCAAUUACUCCAAAGUCGUCUGCAGGAGAAGCUUACAUCCUAGCUGCAACAGAUUAUUUCUCCAAGUGGGCUGAAGCCAUACCCCUAAGGGAAGUAAAAAAGGAAACUGUUGUCCGCUUCAUCAAGAAGCAUAUCAUCCACAGAUAUGGUGUGCCUCGGUACAUUAUCACUGACAAUGGAAAACAGUUCUCCAACCGACUUGUAGACGAACUCUGUGAGAAAUACAAGUUCAAGCAGCACAAGUCUUCCAUGUAUCAUGCUCCGGCCAACGGUCUCGCAGAAGCAUUCAACAAAACAUUGUGCAACCUCUUAAAGAAGGUGAUCGGCCGAACAAAGAGAGACUGGCACGAAAGAAUAAGCGAAGCACUUUGGGCAUAUAGGACAACGCAUAGGACUCCUACCCAAGCUACCCCUUAUUCUCUCGUAUAUGCGUAGAAGCUGUUCUACCGCUAGAAAGUCAAAUCCCCUCACUUAGGAUGGCUAUACAAGAAGGCUUGACUGAUGAAGAGAAUGCAAAGUUGCGCCUUCAAGAGUUGGAAUCACUCGACGAAAGAAGGCUCGAAGCUCAACAACACUUGGAAUGCUACCAAGCACGGCUAUCCAAGGCAUUCAACAAGAAGGUCCGCCCAAGGUCUUUCCAAACUGGAGAUCUCGUCCUUGCAUUACGAAGGCCUAUCAUCACGACUCACAAGACAAAAAGCAAGUUCACAUCAAAGUGGGAUGGACCGUACGUAAUACAAGAGGUCUACACAAACGGCGCCUACUUAAUCAUGGCAGAAGACGGCUUGAAGAUCGGUCCCAUCAAUGGCAGAUUCUUGAAGCGUUACUACCCCUAAAAAGGCUACGGCACAAGGCUCCUGGCCCGCAAGAGCAUAAACUGUGUGUACGGCAAAAAUCAUCAUCAAAAUCACCAUAAAAAAAAAAUUAUCGCUCAUUUGAACUACGUUAUGACUUGAUCCCCCAUCAACCGGGGGUACGUAGGCAACUUGAAACUUCAAAACUUCAAGUACAGUCACAUCAUCAUAAAAAAAAUAAAAAAAAAUAAAAAAAAAUACAAACACUUUGAAGAAUCAAAAGAAAUAUGAAUACUUUAUUUCUUUAAAGGAAUGAUUUGGUCAUAAAGCCGUAUUACAAAGGUGAGCAUUACGCCAACGUCACCACCAAGGAAAGUUGUGACCAAAAGGCACUACACAGCAUAAACUUGCUGCAGUCUUUUGCACAACCCCACAAGGUAAAGGUGACGCACUGGAACAAGCUCCGAGCAACAGCGGCAAAGAGCCCAUGGCAAGCAGCAAGGUUAAUGUGCACAGCGACAUCACCACCACUAAAGGAAAACUGUGACCAAAAGGCAUUACACAGCGAAGCCCCACUGCAGUCUCUUGCACAGCACCACACGGCAGCGCACCACCGAGGGAAAAACUGUGAUCAAAAGGCACUACACAGCGAAACCCCGUUGCAGUCUCUUGCAUAAACCCUAGGCAACAUAAAGCAUAGAUAUGCCCACGUCCUGCUCACUCCAAAUACCACGUCUCUAAAAGCUUCGUGAGGUUCCCAGCAUCAUGCUUUGUCCCCCAAAAUUAAAGAUUCCUAGCAUCACAUCAAAAUAAAGAAUAAACAUUUUAUUAAAGGUUUGGUUAAUGAAGGUCAAUGUUAUUACAAUUUCUUUGCACAAAUGUGUAUAUAUAUAUAUAUAAGUGGGGUUUUUCUCCAUUUUAAAUGCCGUCCCUAAACCAAAGUGGAUGGAAUUGGUCCUAAAUCCCAUUGGUGCAGCAAUCAGGACAAAUCCUGUUGUUGGGCUUGAAUUUGUAAGGCAGCUGGUCAAGCUCCAAACAAGAAAAGACUACCUUUCCGAGGUCCGAGACCCGGCCCAGGCCCUAAUCCUGGGUCAAGCCCAACGUCCAGACCUAUUGCAGCCAUGCCAGAGGAAGCUUCUGAGGGUGGGUGUGCAGAGGGAUUUGCAUUCUCUCUGACAUAGCAAGGAAGCUUGACCUCGACGACUCCAAGCACGUCAUUCGACGAGUCGCCGAGCUUCGCCGUCUCUACAACAUCCAGUUCGACUCUUCCAUAAUCGGCAUCAGUGAGGUUUAUAAAGUUGUGAUUUGCAUAAAACAUCGCCGCCACAAGAUAUGGGUUUCUAUUCGAUCGGAGCAGGCCCAUCGGUGCUCUUCCUUCACAGAUUCCCGGAGCUCUGGUACUUAUGGCGCCACCAACUUCUAUCUCCACAACUCCACUUGGGCUUCGACCUACAGAUUCAGUGAUGGCAGGCAUUCCUCUGCAACACCUCUUCCUUUUCAGCACCAACCUUUCCGCUGGCUUCAGCUCCGGCGAGACCAAGUCCAAGCGCCGAUGGUUCGUCAACGAACGAGGAGGUACAGCUUCUGAAGUCCCAAAGCUUGAGACGGAUCAAGGUCUUUAAUUCUGACCCGGUUAUGCUCCGGGCCCUAGCUGGAUCCGACAUCAAAGUCACGGUCGGCCUUCUUCUUUGCUCCAGUUUUCAAAUGCCGAAACUAUUCUCUAGCAUUACCUCAAUAGCUCUUCCACCAGGCGUCAUCUCCUCUCGCCGCCAGAUCUUCGAUAAGUUUCCUGGUUGGGAUCCCCAGCUCCAAAAGUGUCCAAGGAUUGAAGUCUUGGGCUUGGGUUCGGAGGUUUGUGUACUUCCGUUGCUCUGCUGCUGCCUUUGAAUUUGAUUUAACUGACGCUUUGUAUCCCCCUCUCUGCCUCGCUGCUGGGACAUGGAACUUGGAUUGCGCCCCUCUUCUCUUCUCCUUCUUCUUCGUGCAGUCCCAGAGCGUGGUCGACAAGUACACGGAGCCGAUAGGGGAUGUUGGGGUCAUGGAUGAGAAAGACCUUGAUCUGCUUUAUUCCUUCAAAGAACAGCUGCAGCAACAUGUCUGGGUUCAACGGACACAAAAAAGAAUGCAAUGCAGUGAGGGUGAUGAAACGACCAGAUGGAACAUCCAACUUCCAUAUAUAUAUAUAUAUAAACAAUAUGUGCCCAGUGAUGGUGGCAGGACAAUCAAAUGUCUAUAUAUGUAUACAUAUGCAUAUGUACAUGUCAAAAUCGUGCUCGGUUUAAAAUAAACACCUCACAGAGUAAAGGCUGCGUAAAGGAACUUACUAGAUGACUGAUUUCUCUUCUCCCCGUCCAAAGCAACUCACCCUUGCGGUUUUGUCCAGCACCCAAUUUAACAGGCAACAAACACGAAGAACGCAGUGCGGCGAGGAAGCAGUGCGUGCAAUCAACAGUAGCGCAGGAUUACAGAACAAGGCAAUCGGGAUGCAAGAUAGCAAGCAAAUACAGUGGCUGUGCAAUGGUUGUGCAGUGAUGGCUCGAUAUAUAUGUAUGUCGGGAUGUGUGUAUACAUAUAUAUGCGUAUGUAAAAGAACACAGAGAAGCAAAAAGAAGUGCGGUGACUGUACGAACAAUAACCGGCAUGCAGCAUCCUCUGCAGUAUGGUGACUGUGCAAAUAGCAAUCCGCGUGCAGUGAAGAACGUAAUAAGGUGACUAUGCAAGUGAAAAGAUGGUCCGCAUGCGAGAAGAACGCAGUGCAGUGAGGAAGGCCACCAAGAAACCCAAUCGUGCUAUCGUCAAGCCACUCACAAGUGCAUAUUACUAUUAGCAAGUCAAUAAUGGAAAAAGAAAUGGGUGCACUAGUCACUAUCUAAAAGGAAGUGGGUGUAUAGGGAAGUAAUACAUCUUAGUUAGAUAUACGUUUUAUUUGCGUUUCAACACAACAUACGGAAUAAAAUAAGGCAUGUCCAUUAAUAUCUCCAAGAAAUUACAACCAAAAAAAAAAGAGAAAGAAAGUAGAAAAAGCCUCCACGAAUGUCACUUGUGUGAAGCCUCAGUACUUGAAGCCUUGGUACUCGGUGGAACCCUAAAAGAAUGAGGCACCGAAGAUAGCUUAUUCGGAGCCUCAAUACUUGGUCGAACUCCAGAUGACGAAGGCAAAAAGUGCCUCUGGAAUACAUCCACAAACUUCCGAUGGUCACUUUGAAUUCGACCUUCGGAGUCCGUCAGCUGAUCAAGCUUCCUCUUCAUGCUCGUCGAAUAACUAUUUGCAAGCAUAUGCAACUCUCUAUUCUCACGCUUGAGCUGCCUAAUCUCUUGACUAAGAGCUGCCACCUCAGUUGUCAAUGAUUCAACCUGGCGAGUUCGAGCAAGUAAGCGUUGACCCAUGUUAGAAACAGAGUUCGCACACUGGACACUGAGAGCCUGGGACUCUUGAACGGCUAACUCAUCGGACCGUCGUGAAAGUAUCCUAUUAUCUUUAGGAGUGAGGAGGUUUCUAGCUACAACCGUAGCCGUUGUUGCAUCCCUCAUCACAGAGUCUUCAACUGUAAGAGGGCCAUUAGAAGAAAAAAAAAGACGGGCGCCAUACAUUACCCUGACGCGGUGCACCUGUGUCGCUGCUAAGACUCAAAUCUAAGCAAAUGUUAAAAGGGGAAGUCAUUUUCAAAAAAUACUAAAAGAAAAAGGUUGGAUGAAGUAAAGAGUAGCAGAGAUAAUUUUUCACGAACAGGCAAUCUUCAAAUUGUGCGUGUUGAAUACAAUUGACACCUCUUUAAAAGGAGAGGCAGCACAACCAUUCGUUCGUAAAUCGAAGAAACACCACUCUCCGAAUUUCAAAACCCGGAUUUUUCUGCGUAAAGUCCGUCGACACUUCUCAGACAUAAUCUCAGCUUUCGGCUAUCACGUGCAACUUCGUCAGAUAUCACUGACAAAGUUGAAGAUGUGUGAGGUCCAUUACGCCAACUACCGUACUUCUGCCGACAAGCGUGGGUGACAAGGCCACGCUCACCCUACCACUUGAUGUUGAGAGCUCACCAUAUAAUUCGACCUCCAUCCUAUAGCAAGACACACAUCUAGCUUGACUCAUCUUCCUUGCCGAAGGCAUCUGCAACCAAAACUCAGUUUUCUUCCUCCCUGAAAACACAUCCAACCUGACCUUUCUUCCUUGCCGAAGACAUUUGCAACCCAAAACUCAGUUUUCUUCCUCCCUGAAAACGCAUCCAGCCUGACCUUUCUUCCUCGCCAAGGGCAUCUGCAACCAAAAUUCAGUUUUCUUCCUCCCUAGAAGCGCCUCUUCAACCAAGCCACACCAGAGUAAAGGUAUCUCAUAUCACUGGGGUUGAGAGCAAGAGUAUCUCAUAGCAUGCUUUCUCCCUAUCCUUUUCUUUGUCCUCCCUCUUCACUACGAAGACAAGGAUAAAGAAAGCAAUAUGUCGGAACCUCCACUCAAGCUCCUGGUAAGGAACCGACUACUUGGAACCUUUCCUGAUUGCUCACCUAGCCGUGCUCUCGAAUACGCAUCGUCAACAUCUUCUGCUUCCUCUUCGUCUACCACGUCUGCCUGGAAAACAGAUGAUGCAGGUGAAGAUGAUGCAGAUGAAGAUGAUGCAUCGAAGCAUAUGGAGACAGGCGCGACGAAUGCAUGUGCUGAUCGUCCGCUACUUCUUCAAAAGCAAAAGUAUCUCAUAUCACUGGGGUCGAAAGCAAAGGUAUCUCAUAUCAUGCUCUUCCCCCAUCUUCUCAUCUGCCCUUGCUCUUGCCUGCAGAACAAGGGGAAAGGAAGCAAUCAGUCGGAACCUGAAAUUAAAUGUCCGACCAGGAACUGAUUGCCCGGAACCUUUGCCUGGUUACUUACCUAGCGUUGCUCUCGAGUGCUCAUCUUCAACUGCUAAUAUGUCUCGAAUUCCCUCAGCAAAUGCUUCAAGAGUGUGGAUCUGUUGACAUCGACUCUUUGCACUGAAGCUGCCAAGCAUGAGUGAGUCGCUGAGAGGUGGUGCUCCGAGGAACCAUUUAAAGGCAAAAGGUUGCACAUCGCUUCAGCCAUGCAAAAGAAAUAAGCAGAGAAGAAAUGCAACACAACAAGCUGGAACAAAUCAUGAAGCACGAAAGCCCUUCCCUGCAUGACCACAUAAUCCAGACGGAGGAGUUCAAGUAAAGAUCCAAGCUAGACACCGUUGCUCCAACCCAAAAGGCUCGAGAAGCUUUAACGACCCUUCGCUGGUACCGUCACCGAAGAGCAAAGCCUCGAUAAUCCUUAAAGAUCAAGUCACCAACUGGAAGAAGAGCCCAUCAAUCUUGAAGAUCAUACUGUUGACCAAACUGCUCAGGGUUCAUAUGAAAAUGCUGCGAACUUCCUUGAUCUUUCAAAGCAUGCAUGUCCUGAAACUGCUCGUGGUCAUGUUUAAGUUCGAAAUCAAGCCUCAACGACCCUGACUCAAGAUCAAGUGUCCACCACUCUUGAGUCAAAUCCAGUUCAAGAUUAAGUCUGUGGAAAGUCCUUUGGAGGAAACCAGAAAACUCCUCCAGCCUAGUUCAAGAUCAAAGCUGUGGAAAGUCAACAAGCACAACAAAAUACGUGCUGAUUCAUCCAUUAUCAAAGCCAAGGAUCGUCUACUACGUGAAGCUCCUUGUGGUCCAAUUUCAUCCAAGAUCAAGCCUCAACGGCCCUUGAAGAAAUUUCAAACAAAAUUCAAGAACAAGCCUUAACGGCACUUGAAGAAACUCCCAGACCAGUUCAAGAUCAAGCCUCAACGGCCCUUGGAUCGACAUCUACAUUAAGGGACUUCAAAACGCAUCUUCUACACGUGACAAGCACAUGUAUACUAUGCGCCUUGAAGUGGGGGCAUUUGUAGACAUUGAAAUUUCGUUGAAAUAAAUGUUAGCCAUCGCAUUAAAAUUACAUUUGUAAACAUUGAAAUUUUAGUGAAAUAAAUGUUGACCAUUGCAUUAAAACUACAACAUACACCCAAAUUCACCUACAACAAUCCAUCCAAAUUCACCUACAACAAUCCAUCCAAAUUCACCUACAACCUCCACCCAAAUUCACC